UACGUAGGGAGCGAGCGUUGUCCGAAGUUACUGGGCGUAAAGCGCGCGUAGGCGGGGGAGUAAGUGAGAAGUGAAAGGCUGGGGCUCAACCCCAUGCAGUGCUUCUCAUACUGCUUCUCUUGAGGGCGGUAGAGAGAAGUGGAAUGGCUGGUGUAGCGGUGAAAUGCGUAGAUAUUGGGAGGAACACCGGUGGCGAAGGCGGCCCCCUGGACCGGUACUGACGCUGAGGCGCGAAAGCGUGGGUAGCAAACGGG
rnacentral:rRNA from 1 species